rnacentral:rRNA from 1 species
GAUGAACGCUGGCGGCGUGCUUAACACAUGCAAGUCGAACGGAAAGGCUCCUGCUUGCAGGGGUACUCGAGUGGCGAACGGGUGAGUAACACGUGGGUGAUCUGCCCUGCACUUCGGGAUAAGCCUGGGAAACUGGGUCUAAUACCGGAUAGGACGAUGGUUUGGAUGCCAUUGUGGAAAGUUUUUUCGGUGUGGGAUGAGCUCGCGGCCUAUCAGCUUGUUGGUGGGGUAAUGGCCUACCAAGGCGUCGACGGGUAGCCGGCCUGAGAGGGUGUACGGCCACAUUGGGACUGAGAUACGGCCCAGACUCCUACGGGAGGCAGCAGUGGGGAAUAUUGCACAAUGGGCGCAAGCCUGAUGCAGCGACGCCGCGUGGGGGAUGACGGCCUUCGGGUCGUAAACUCCUUUCGCUAGGGACGAAGCGCAAGUGACGGUACCUGGAGAAGAAGCACCGGCUAACUACGUG